GCUGGGAUGGUCUAGCUGGUUAUGAGUCUGCCUCACACGCAGUAGGUCCCGAGUUCGACUCUCAGUUUCAAUA